UACGGGGGGGGCAAGCGUUGUUCGGAAUUACUGGGCGUAAAGGGCUCGUAGGCGGCCAACUAAGUCAGACGUGAAAUCCCUCGGCUUAACCGGGGAACUGCAUCUGAUACUGGAUGGCUUGAGUUUGGGAGAGGGGCUCGGAAUUCCAGGUGUAGCGGUGAAAUGCGUAGAUAUCUGGAGGAACACCGGUGGCGAAGGCGGCGUCCUGGACCAACACUGACACUGAGGAGCGAAAGCCAGGGGAGCAAACGGG
rnacentral:rRNA from 1 species